rnacentral:lncRNA from 1 species
CAGGUUCUCGAGGGCCGAGUGAGUGCGGGUUCAUAAUUGGAAGUGCGGUUCGCACCGAUCUACUCACAUGAUGCCUAAUCAGUGGAUUUCCAGCUAUUCAAAAGACCAAGUUCAUCAUGGAGGGCAUUCUUAAGAUUUGGGAGGUAUUGCGCCUCCGGAUUCAACCCCUCAGAAGCACAAAACAAUAGCAAAGUGUUACGACGUAUGCUCGUUUCCCCUCCGUUUCUCUGACUGUGAUUCCCUUUUUUCGUCCCCAAUAUAUAUAUGGUAGUUAGGUAAUAAUAUUCUGCUGUUUGCUCUUGCUUGCUCUCUCUCCUGAGUAAAUAUGGGUACCAGUAUCUGUUAAUAUUUGAGAUUCAGUACAUCUCAAACAUUGUGACUGAUAAUCAUGUCUUCACUUGCAGAUGGUCUUCAGUCUCUUUGCAGCCUGAACAAAUCCCACAAUCACCUGCAGCUCGUCCAUUUGCUGGGACCUAAAAUGCCUCUGAACAACAUCUACUAGUUGCUCUUUAGAUGGGUUGGGGAUAGCAUCCAUAAGAUUGAAGUGUCUCCAAUAUUUCCACAAGGCAGCCAUCUCUAAUUCGCUGAGGUCAACUUUCACGGUCCCACAAGGUGUGGAAACAGAGCCUUUAUACUGCGAGUCACAAGAGAGGGACCCGCUCAUAGUCUUGUGAGAUGACCCAUUGAUUUAUGCGUCCUAUGCCUUGAUCUAUGGGACUUUUGGGUGUCCUCGAAUGCCGUGUCAGAUCCAUUCCAAUGUACAUUAUCAAAUUCCAAAUCAUCGUGUCCCACAAGGUGUGGAAACAGAGCCUUUAUCCCACUAAGGGCAUUCCUCUGUAACUUUACUUCUAUGCCAUUUGUAAGAACCAGCUAAUGUCAGCCACCAAUUAACCCGCCACCAACUCGCAAGCCACCAAUUAACCCGCCACCAACUCGCAAGCCACCAAUUAACAAGCCUCCUCCUGCAGAGGGAAACGCCUCAGUUGACCCAACAGACAAACACCAUGGACCCCCAAAUAAGUGGUCACCCAGUUCAGUUGAUGGAUCAACAGGAGUUGGUGAUCAUCAAGAGAAGGCAUUCCCUGAUAAAGACAAGCCAUAAAAACGCAAGGGAGUGACGCCACCACACAAGCCUGGACACCCUCCUGCAGUUGGUACAGAGGACGCAACACACAGG